GUCUACAGCCAUACCACCCUGAACACACCCGAUCUUGUCUGAUCUCGUGAAGGUAAGCAGGUUCGGGCCUUGUUAGUACUUGGAUGAGAGACCGCCUGGGAAUACGGGUUGCUGUAGCCU
ensembl:rRNA 5S_rRNA 5S ribosomal RNA